rnacentral:lncRNA from 10 species
GUUUUCUAAUAUCCAGGGAAGGAGAGUAUGAUAUUAUUCCCAAUAUCACAGGGGGUGUACACCUUUUUGUGACAUUGAGUCUAAUAUCCAGGGAAACAGAGGAUGAUAUUACUCCCAAUGUCGCAGAGGGUAGACACCCCCCUGGGAUAUUGUUCCUAAUAUCCCAAUGGAGAGAGGAUGAUAUUACUCCCAAUAUCAAAGGAAAUGUACACCACCCCUGCGAUAUUGUUCCUAAUAUCCAGAGAAGAAAAGAAUGAUAUUACUCCCAACAGCGUAGGAAAUGUAUACCCGUGCUGUGAUAUUUUUCCCAAUAUCUGGGGUGGGGGGGAAGAGGAUCAUAUUACUUCCAAUAUCGCAGGGUGUGUACACCCCCUCUGUGAUCUUGUUGCUAACAUCCAGGUUUAGGGAGGACGACAUUACUCCCAAUAUCGCAGGGGGAGUACACCCCCCGUGACCUAGUUAGUAAUUUCCUGGGUGGAGAGGAUGAUAUUACUCCCAAUAUCGCAGGGGGUGUACACAGCCCUGUGAUAUUGCUCCUAAUAUCCAGAGCCAAAGAGGAUGAUAUGACUCUUAGUAUCGCAGAGGGUGUACACCCCUCCUGUAAUAUUGUUCUUAAUACCCUGGGAGGGAGAGGAUAAGAUUACAUUGAAUAUCGCAGGGAAUGUACACCCUCCCCCUCUGAGACCCUUCCUAAUAUCCAGGGGAAGAGAGGAUAAUUUUGCUCCCAAUAGCCCAGAGGCAGUACACCUCCCCUGUGAUAUUGUUCCUAAUAUCCAACGGGGGAGAGGAUGAUACUUCUCCCAAUAUCGCAGGGGUGUUCACAUCCCCAGUUACAUUUUUCCUAAUAUCUAGGGGAGAGACAAUUAUAUGACAGCAAAUGUCUCAGGGUCUGUACAUCCCUUCCUGAUAUUGUUCCUCAUAUCCAGGGGGGAAGAGGAUGAUGUCAAAUAUCAAAGGGGGUGUACACCCCCCACCACGAUAUUGUUCUUAAUAUUCAUGAGGGGAACGAUGAUGUUACUCUGAAUGUCGCAGGGGUUUUUCACACCCCCUGUGAUAUUGUUGCUGAUAUCCACAGUGGGAGAAAAUAAUAUUACUUCCAAUAUUGCAGGUGGUGUAUACCCCACCUGAAAUAUUGCACUGAAAAUCCAAAGAGGGAGAGGAUAACAUUCCCUCAAAUUUGGCAGGUGGUUUGACGCCCCUUGUGGAAUUGUUUUUAAUAUCCAGCGGGGAAGACAGUAAUACCAUUUUGGAUAGUCCGAUUUAUCCGCCCCACCUUUCCGGAACUCUGAGACCAGGAGGCGGCAUGCGGUUUCCAUGUGAUCCCCGAUACCUUUGCCAUCUUCUGUACUGUCAGCCACAAACGCAGGCCCGUUAUCUGAGCUGAUCCGUAAGGGCAGUCCCAAUCUAGGAAUCAGAUCUCGAAGAAGCAGACGGGUUACUUCAGGAGCUUUCUCAGUUCGUGUUGGAUAAGCCUCCACCCACCCAGAGUAGGUACGCCCAAGAACUAGUAAAUACUUGUUACCUCCACACUUUGGCAUCUCUGUGAAGUCUACCUGGAGAUCUUCAAAGGGGGCUGCUCCAUAAGCUUGUAUGCCGGGCGGAACGGCUGGCACUUGCCUCGCAUUACGCUGUCGGCAGAUAACACACCGCUGCGUCACCGUUUUGGCAAGUGCUGACAAAUGCGAGACGUAGAAAUACCGGCCUAACAACUUUUCCAGUUGACUCCUGACCUACAUGGCAUUCGAAACAUGAGUAUACAGAAGUCUUUGGUAAUUCAGGAUCACUGAUGAGUAAAACAAGAUAGGAGUUGAAGCUUAUCUUUGUUUAAAAAAUCCUUUGGUCUUGGGAUAACAAGAUAAUGUAAAUAUGGCUUAAAGGAGAAUCAUUUCAAAAACAAAGCAAAACAAGGAAAUGAAAAAUAAAAUUUAUGGCCUGGCACAGCGGCUCACGCCUGUAGUCCCAGCACUUUGGGAGGCCAAGGCGGGCAGAUCACGAGGUUAGGAGAUCGAGACCAGCCUGACCAACAUGGUGAAACCCCGUCUCUACUAAAAAUACAAAAAUUAGCCAGGUGUGGUGGCAAGGGCCUAUAAUCCCAGCUACUUGGGAGCCUGAGGCAGGAGAAUUGCUUGAACCCGGGAGGCAGAGGUUGCAGUGAGCUGGGAUCGCCCCACUGCACACUCCAGCCUGGGCAGCGGAGUGAGACUCCGCCUGA